rnacentral:lncRNA from 1 species
CAGGCAUGUGCCACCAUGUCCAGCAUAAGGAAAUCUCUUAUUCCCAAUAAAAAUUUACACCAAAAUUGAAACCUGAUUGUAGGUGUUCUGACCAUGGAAAUAGACAGGGAAGUGUUCCCCUGGUGAGCAAACUCUGUGGGGUGGGGGUGGGGUAGCUGGCACCCUGAUUCCCACUAUUGGACAGCCCAGCCUCCUCCCUCUGAGGGAAUAAGACAGCUAUGUAGGCUCUAUCUGGUUUCCUUAGCAAUGUCCUUGAAGAGAAGGGCUCUGUGUUUGUAUUAACCUGGACCUUAUCUCAGCUAGCUAGCACUCAGGUUAAAGAAAUACUACUUUGAAUACAGUCAUGGUAAUGAAAGUAUGUGUUCUUAAACUCCCAGGCAGCGGGGAGUGGACACUUCACUUCUCCACCACUUCACCUCACUCCUCUCUGCUCCUCCUGUCUGUCUGCUUGCACUGUGUGUGUGUCUGUGUCCAUUCUUUUGUAUGCCUCCUGCACAGGCAUUCUUCUACAGGUGUUCCUUUACAGCCAGCGCUCAACAUUGGGGCACCAGACCCCACAUGUCCUCCCAGUCCACGGAGAGUUUGGGACAAGGAAGUCAGCCCAGACAGAGACCCUUCCAGACAUUCGGAGAGGUAAGGGGUCGGGGGAGUGGCUCAUGACGUGCAUCUUUACACCAGCUGGUUCAGAUCCCUAAUCAGUUGAGUCAUGGGGAAUUCUCUACUGCACAGUGGCAUGCCACGGAGCAGAACUUUCCUUUCUGUUCUGCAAGGCUGGACAUACUGUAAGUGAUAGUGAUCUGGCUGCCUUGCUAACCAAGAUAAGCUCUUGCUGUCCCUUUUACCCAGAAAGUGGAUGACUCAAUUUGAAAGACUAGGAGAAGUAGGUAAAAUAAUUCAUGAAAAGCCACAUAUUUGUAUACCCGUGUUGCAAACUUGGUGUCUUUGUAGGAAUGCAGUUGAUAAAACCUUAGAUUCUCAAACUUCAUGCUCUUCUUUUUCUGUGCCUGGCUGCACUGUCCCUUUAAGGGACCUGCCUGCAUCUCUCCAGACACUCCAGGACACUAGGUGAUUAACUGUCUUUGUCUUCAUGCCUGCCUGCCUGGAGCAGCUGCCUCACCUACAACUAAAUCCAAGUUAAGUAAGUGUUUGGGACAAGCUGAGGAGGAAGGGGGAUUUCAUGAUUUAGCUGUCUGUUGCACUGGGUUAAAUUUCGCUGGUCUGCCAGAGCAUAAGCACUUACCUUCUGCUCUAUUCAAUGAGUUGAAAUGUACCAUUUUAAAAAUUACAAAACCAUUUAAAUGGUAACUCAUAAAGCUGCCUUGCUUGCCACUGCCUUAAAACCCCCGACUCAGACCAAAAGGAGGAGGAACUAAUUUCUCUAAUCCCAUCAGGAUCCCAUGACACAAGUGUUUCCAAUAUACAGAGAGACCUCUCAACCUCAUUUUACAGACCCUUUCAUGCUACCAGAGGGAGAGCUGGAAUAGGUUUGAUUACUACUAAAGGCAUCCAAGUGAGGGCUCCCAGGGACUGGAACCAGAGUUCAGUUGAUGAAGUGUUUGCCUCUCAUGGACGAGAUCCCAGCUUCAAACCCAAGCAAUAUUAUUUAAAUGAAAGGAAAAAUAAAAGAUUAGACUCUUCUGUUACUGAACAUAACAACACGUUUGUCAAUUACUGAAAGUAGACUUAAGUUCACCUUGUUUAAUAAGCAUUCAUAUUUCUAGGCUUAUUGGACACAAAUACUAAUGUCAUGGUCAUAAGACAUGGUAUGUCUUUACACAUGGCCUCAAGAGGCCACCCCAGUUUGGGGAAAAUAAAAUAAAACAAACAAGUGUCCAUUCAUUCAUGGCCUUAAUGGGUCACCCUGGUUUGGGGAAAAGAAAACAAAAACAAACAAGGAUCCCAAACCUCCCUGUGGCUACCACCUCUUCCCCUUUCAAACCAUACAAACCAUUGCUUAUGUUCAACCAUGUGUGGAAACUGUUACAAGAUUUGCAAGGUUUAAGGCAAAAAGAAAGAAAGAAAGAAACAAACAAAAACUUUCCAGAAAGCAUAUAAACUGGAAAGAAAUACUCUUAAAAAAGAAAGAAGGGUUACAACAUUUUUCCUUACUUUUCAACUUCUGCUGGAUUCCUAACUUUCCUAGCCUCAUAUUUCAAUGUGAAUUUCAUUCCCUAUAUGAUUUACUAGAGUUGCAAAAAACUAGUUUAGACAAAAGAAGAAAGAAUGUCUCUUCUAAAUCCACACUGCUUGGCUGACUCUCUUAACUGUUUUUACCCAGUUUUCUUACACAGCUCCUCCCCUUCCUUAAUGUUGAAGCACUAAUAGAAAGGGAAAAGUAGAAAGACUCCAAAUGUGCAAGUUUUCUUUUUUUUCAAAAAAAAGUUUUGUUUUACAUUAUUUUCUUUCAGAAUGUGACAGGCUUCCAACUGAUUCUUGUCUGAGUUUAAGGUAUACUCUGACCCGAUAAAAAAUGUUGAUAUUACUGCAAUGUAAGUUUUUAAGUAUUCUAUGUAAGUUGAUGUGUUUUUCUGAUUAGUCUGUUUUUAUCUAACUAUACAGAUUUUUACAUUCUGCCUUUACACAAAGGCCAAUUUCCCCAGAGUUAACUCUUAAAUACAUUCAAAGAUUUCUUUUAAUAAAUCCUAGGAAGAUAUAAACAUGGUUGUGUUAGGGAUAAGUCUUAAUAACUAUAAAGGACAAAAACGCUAGCUAUAUGAAACCUUAGAUUUCAGUGUCCACCCUGGUUGUUGGAUCUUGUACCUGACAUUUCCAAUUUCACAGGCCUGUCUUAUGUCUAUAUAUUAUUAUUAAAUUGACAUUUAGACAAACGAAGGCUCAUAAAUUAAAAUUUAGAAAAAUAAAUGGACCCAGAUAACUUAAUUCAAAUCAAAUAAUUAAAUAAAUAUAUAGAUGUUUUUAAGGUGAUGGCUCAUGAGUGUUUAUAGGUGGCCAAAUAAUAAAGUCUUAAUUUCUAAAAAAUAUGUAAAAUAUAAUAUUCAUUACUUCUAAUUUUUUUCAACAGAGAAAGGAUGAUUAAUACUAUUAAUCAUGUUUUUCUUAUGUUUUUAUGUUAUAAUUAAAAUGAAUAAAUUAAAUUUAACAUAAAUGAGAUUAGCCUUCAUAUUAUGGUUUCUUAAAUAAAUAAAUUAAAAAUUAGAGCUGAUGCCAAGCUGAUCUCUCCUUUUGUUUCCAGUUGUUAAAAACAAACAAACAAAAACAGGAUGCCACCCCCUUCCUUUAUUUGACUCCUUCUUUAAAACAGGCUUUACAAAGAAUUCAUGAAAAGUUAUUGACAGUGAUGGAGGAUCAACUUCCUGUAUCUAAUGUGCUAUUAUCAUUGAUAGUUCUUGUUGGAAAGCCUUAUGCUUUUGAAGCAGUAGUUGCUAUUCUUAAUAAGAAAUGAUAUAUAACAAAAUGGCUAUAUUCUCCUCACUUUUCAGGCUGUAAUAUUUUGCCUUUUACUAAUAUGUAUGCUCAAUUAAUUGCUGAUGGUCAUAUUAAAAUUUUAUCUUUAACAAGCAUGGAUAUUCAUGUUUUGCACCUUAUGAAAAAAACUUUAUAUCUCUAAUACGUACCAUUCAUCCUAUUAUCAAGCUGUAUUAGCUAAAAUUUUAGUGCUCAUUGUGUUUCACCUGCCUCAUGAUGAACAAUUCUCUUUGUUAUAUCAGUUUCCUUAAUUAUAUCCAUUUUCCUUAAUUCCUACUGUUCCUCUUAUAGAUGAAAUAAUGGUGUAAACAAACAGGUAAACAAAGAGGAGUAAUAUCUGUUUUUAUUAAUGGUGAAUGGACUAUUAUACUCUACCUCAAAAUUCUCCACAGUGAGCUGAGUUAGCUACCUUUAUCCUGAUGCUGAAAUUGUUUUCUACUAUUUUAAAUGUUAUUACAAGUUCUCAAUAUAUAGUUAAGCUUGUGCUUCAUAUUUCCAUGGUUGGGUUAUGCCCUCAUUUGGAUUCCAAUUCACUGUCUCUUUUUUAAACCCUUUAAACUCUUUUAUAGCAUCAUGCAUCUCCUAUCUUCCUUGCUCAUAGAUAUAGCCACCCCAAGAUUUCUAAACUUUUGAUGGAGGUUGUCGCUCACACAGAUGAAGAUAUGAAAUCUGCUUAUCCUUUUUUUUUUUCAAAUGCUGUGAAAUCUCAUGGAUUUUUUCAUCAAAAUACUCGGUCACUACUGAAAACAUUUUCCAUAUCUUCUCAAAAGUUUCAUGCUAUAGUUAGCAAUUGUUCCCACUGUGUACACUUAUGAACCCUAUAUAAAAAUUUGUGAACCCAGGCCUACAUUUUAAUGCACAAUGGUAAAUGGAUGUUACUUAUUUCACUCCUUUUUUUCAUGUUUUUAUUACUACCCAUUCUGGAUUUAUUUAAGCUAGUGCCCACAGGUAUAAAAAUGUAUUUGCUUGCAUUUCUCACUUAUUGCUUUGCUUUCCACCAUGGGCAAGCCUGCUUAUUUAGAAAAUGGAUAAUGCCCCUGCGUAUACAUCUUGUGCUUUUGCACAAUUUUGUAAUCAAUGAAAUAUAAUUUUAAAUCAUAAAAUUCCUCAUAAUCCUACUGAACAAACUGGUUAAAUGAGUGCAUCAUACUCUUGAAACUUGCCUUUUAAAACUAAAACAAAAAAGGGGCAAUCUAGCCUCUCUCAUAUUAAUAAUGCUUUAAAUAUUGUUUUAUUUACAGUUAACGUGCUCAAUAUGGAAUGCAAAGUUGAUAUUCACAAUUGGUUGUCUGCUUUGGAUAGACAUUGUAUUCCUAAACAGCCAUUACUAAGAAUUUAUGUAAAAUAUAGGGUUCCACCAGACCCAGGAUGACAAGACCCUAUGCCUCUGACCACAUGGGGAAAAGGAUAGUCUGCUGUGCUCACACCAACAGAUCCUACUUGGACUCCAGCUUCAUGCAUGAGCUCUAUCCAUUGUGAAUGGACAUCGGGAACUUCACACCUUGAUUCCCAAGUUGCAUUUGAUCCUGGAUGAGGAGAGUCCCACCAAACAAGAGGAAACUCUCCUCAAAAGAGAGGAAGCAUUAAAGAAGGACAGAUAAGAGACAUGAAAAGAGGAUCCCAAGCUUCUAGACUUCCAGUGAGUUGGGGACAUAUAAAAUCAUUAACAGCCUCAGCUCUACAGCUGUUGGCUCAAAGGGGCUUAAAAUGUACUCUGGAAAACUUAGUUACUGCUUUGUUUGCUAAACUUACAUCAAACUCUGUAAAUGUUUUGAUCCUUGUGAUAAUGUUAUUCUGCUGUUGUACCCCACUUGUGCGAAACAUAGUUCUAAGUCAGACUCCUGGAGUUUUAGAACCCAUUAUAAUAUUUAGGUUCGCUUGGUGAAAAUUGUUAUAUACCUGCAAGAAUGUCGCAGCAGAUUAACUGUGUUCUCACCAUCCUUGCAGGAUUUAAUGGGCCACCAUCAUGCACAACGUAUUCAUAAAAGGUCUAUUCCCCUUGAUGAAAACUGUGAUGAUUCAGUACAUCGUCUCUCAAAGGCAGAAUUUGACGCUUUGACAUUUUCCAUAGUGGGUUUCCCUGGACUAGCUGUCGGGGCUUACAAAACCACUAUGAACCUGGCCUGUGCUGUGGUAAAAAAAGUACUAAUCCUACCUCUCUGGCCAUUAAUAUGCUUAAUGAAGAACAAAAACAACAUCGCCAAGACAUUCUUGAUAACCAGGCUGCUAUUGAUUAUUUGUUGUUGUUACAUCAUAAAGGAUGUGAGGAUAAAACACAUAAAGGAUGUGUUGCUUCAAUUUAAGCGAUAACAGUAAUUCUAUUUUAAGAGCAUUAAAUUACCUUAAAUAUAUCAUUAGAAGGUCCAGCAAGAUGAUGAAGGUUUAGACUUGUUAGAUUGGUUAACUUCAUGGUUACCCAAUUGCAUCUGGUUCAAACAAUUAUUCAUAGGUGGAAGUUUGCUGCUAUUGGGAUUGUUGUGUUGCACUUGCUGCUUGUCAAUGCCUGCCCUAUAUUUCCCCUUGCUAGGAUUAAGAAGAAAACAGGUAUUUUUCAUCCAGAAGGCCUUAAAAAACAAAGGAGAGCUGUAGGUAUUCAGACCAUGGAAAUAGACAGGAAAACAUUCUCCUGGUGAGCAAACUCCCGGGGAUAACUGGCAGGGUAACUGGUGCCCUGAUUCCCACAAUUGGAAUGCCCAGCCCCCUCCCUCUGAGGGAAUAAGACAACUAUGCAGGCACUAGCUGCUUUUCUUAGCAAUGUCCUUGGAGAGAAGGGGCUCUGUGUUUGUAUUAACCUGGACCUUAUCUCUAUUAGCUAGCACUCAGGUUAAAAAAAAAAUACUAAUUAGAAUACAGUCAUGGUAAUGGGCGGUAUGUGUUCUUUGAGUUAAUAAACUCCCAGGCAGCAGGGAGCGGACCCUUCAUUUCCAGACUUCUUCACCACUUCACUUCACUGCUCUCUGCUCCUCCUGUCUGUCUGCUUACACUUUGUGUAACACUCUUAUGUGCCGCCUCCACAGGUAUUUCUCCACAGGUGUUCCUUUACAGUUAAUUAAUCAAUAAGUUAGAAAAAGACAUCAGAUAAAAAGUUACAUUCUUACUAUUCAACAAAAUUUUACAUUUUUGGGGGGGACUGGGGUUGUGGCUCAGUGGUAGCACCCUCGCCUAGCAUGCAUGAGGCACUGGGUUCGAUCCUCAGCACCACAGAAAAACAAAAUAAUGUGUCCACCUAAAACUAAAGAUACAUAAAUAAAUAAAUGUUUAAAAAAUUUCUACAUUUUUAAAAUCGUCUUUCAAUUUGUUCAAGGUACUUUCCAUCACAUGUCCAGGAGAUAGUGCAAGGAGGGGUGGAGCACAACACCCAUCUCCUUGCAUGUCUUCACAAAUGGAGAUGCUUAACCCUCACCACUUCCCCACUUCCCCAGCCUGCCCAGUAAUUCUGAGGAUACAGCCAACUCCUUCCAAUUAUGAAAUCUUAGCAAGUUAACAUGUCAGCCAGGCAAGCCUGCUUCACAUUUUAUAGUUGGGGUUUCCAUCCUUUUUUUUUUUAACUUUAUAGGAAAUUUCCUUUCCCUAAACAUGAACGUAUGGUUCCUGGAGCACAAAGCUUGCUCAGGAGACCAACAAGAAUAUAUAAUCAGAGAGAAAAAGCUCUCUAUUUAUUCCAUAUUGUUGAUCAAGCCCAGCAAUAGAGAAAGAAAGAACAAUUUUUUUUUUCAGAGAUCUUUAUAGAAAAUGAUAUAGUAAGAAGAAAAUCUGGGGAAAAGUACAUAAAACUGCAUGAAGUUUGACUCUGUAUGAUGAAAUCUAACCAUCAAAGAUGGAACUAGCUGGGAAUUAGAGAUUAUUAAUCAUAUGUUCAAUAUCUUGGAGCUAGGACUGAUAUUUAUAAAUUUUGGAAUUACUCUCAGUGAAUAUAUUCCCUACACAAAAAGUUGAACUGAUGAAUAAAUACAUGGACAAAUGAAUAAGUGAAUAAUUUUUUUCAGGAGGAAUUCCAUGAGAAAUAUCUUACAUGUUGAACUGUUGUUUUCAUAACAUUAAAAUGGUUGUGCUAGAUAAUCUUUUAUCCUUUUGAAGGCCCCGAGAAAAUACAUUUUUUGCCUAUAUUUAGAUGGACAAAAGAAUGAAGAUCAAAAAAUGUUUCAAAAUCACUCACUUAACCAGCAGCAUGAAAACCGCUUUGAUUUCUGGUCACCGGUUGACAAAAACACAUGAAGAGUACAGGAGGGGUAUGGAUCCAAGUGCCACAGUUAAAAAUCAAGUUAGUAUAAAAGUUUAUAAGAAAAAGCAAAAUAUAGGAAUCAAUUUUAAGUAAUAACCAAUCUUAGAACAGAGAAGAAUGAAGAGGGAAGUAGAAAAAUAAUUUGCAACCAAAAGUAGAAAUCAGCUGAAUCACCUGAUGCCUGGUACAUUGGGCAGGAUGCUUUCAGUCACCAACAAGAGGACACCAUCAUAAUGAGCUGAAAAUACUAAGGGAAAUUUUAUUGGGUGACAUGACUGAGAAUUUCAGGGAUCAUUCAGGCUUUGGAUACUGUUUAAUCUAAACUCUUCUGUGAGUCUAUUGUCAUUACAUUCUUGACUAUUUGAUUAAUACAUAGACUUGCUGUUCCGGAGUUGAAAAAAUAAUUUGAGCUGGUUUAAGCUUUAUAUCCUACAUGAUAACAUUCAGAAAAAAAGAGAGUAUCACUUUCCCCUUACUAACAUCACAGAUUUAGGCUCCUUAUAAACCGAGCCAGCUUAGGACAGGUACAUACCCAGACUCAUUUAUCUAACAAAGGUAAGUGGAAACUAUAGAAUGACUACCUUGAAUGAUACGUUGCCUGUACAUUCUUUAGCUUAUCACUUUCUCAAGGAUGAGUUCUCAAGAUUGUCUUAGGCUGAUCACUGCAGUUGAGAGUGGAGUUAAUCGACCCCAUGGCUGCCAUGCAAAUGUGGUAAAAAGAAUGGGAAGCUAGACAGACUGGAGCCAGUCAUGUCUGUUCCAAGUAGAAAGUCUGAAGUGUCCCAAUGUUUGAUUGCCCCCUUCUCCUGCUUUUCAUGUUUGCCUUUUCUCUCAUGACAACUUCACUUCCCAAAAGUUUAACUAUAUUUUGGAUCUACUCUCAGUGCAUAUGUUUGCUAUGCAAAUAGUAAAAAAUUGAAUUGUGAUGAAUGAAUGGAUGGAUGGAUUAAUUUUUCAGGAGAAAAAAGACAUAGGAAAAUAUCUUACAUGGCCUGGUCUCUCUGGAUAUUCCCCUUGCCCUGGGUCCCCUCUUCUCAGUUCCCUAAGCAACACGAGGCUAAGUCCCUUUUUCCAAGUUGAGCUCAAGUAAGUUGCUCAAUGAGAAACCUAAGAAAGGCCAAAAAAUAAUAAAGAGCAGAAUUCAAUUUUUUAAAGAAUAUUUUCAAGCUCAUACUUUUUUGUGUGUGUGUGUGUGUGUGUGUGUGUGUGUGUGUGGUGCUGGAGAAUGAACCCAGGGCCUUGUCCAUGAGAGGCAAGCACUCUACCAACUGAGCUACUGAGCUAUAUACCCAGGCCCAGUGAUGAUCUUUUUUUUUCUCCAUUAUUUUAUACUCAAUAUGCACCUGCUGCAUAAUAAGUAUAUAGUAGGUGCCUAGGAGCUGUUGAAUCCAUUUAGGAAUUUUAAAGAAAUUGAAGUUAAUCAUGGAUAUCUUGACUCACACUGUCAUUAAGUCCACCUUCAUAAUCAAGAUUUCUGUAUUUGCUAACUUGUCUAUUUAUUGAUCUUCACUUGUAACCCCAAAUCAAUACUCAGUUUUUUAUGGAUCUGUGCACUGUGGUGCGACACUUGAGUCACAUGAAGGUCAUGCUCCUUGGGCCCGAGAGUUGGGAAGUGGCCUACGUUGCCUAUGUGAGAGGCUCUCAGGGUUCAGCACACUGAAUCUGGAAGUUGUGGUGAGCACACUAACCACACUCAGCCCCAUCUCCAUGGUAACCUGGCCUCUCUCAGGUGCACAGCAUGUUCUUUGCCUUCUGCUUUUCUGCCACUGACCUACUAAUGCAUUGGUUACUGCUUGUAAGUAUGUUUCUGGCUCUUUGGAUCAUUAUGACCCUCAGAUAAAUCUGUCCAGUGACAGGCUAUGCUUAAAAGCUUGCCUAUGAAAUAAUAAAGUGGAUUGAGCUCUCGAAAACUAGUCUCCAGAGGUCUCUUUUCGAUUCCGUUGCCACACCAUCCUCAGCUGUUCCGAGGGCUUCUGCAGGACCGAGCGAGCCCCUACACACUCCCUAGAAAAGUCACAGGAGGUGAUGUUCUGCCUCUGGUUUCACUCCUCACUACAGGACAAGCAUCUUUCUGUGGUCUAUUCAGC